GCUCCGAUCUAUCCUCCUCCAGAUAGUUCAAAGGUUCUCCCUCUGUAACGCGGGCCACACGUCCGGCAUGCCAAGCGUCCACCUCGACCGUGAUUUUGUGGCGGCGCCGCAGUGAAAGAGGCUUUCACCACCCACAGUGGAACCUGGCCAUUGCUCGUGGAGGUCAAAGAAGGAAGGAGGGAAGAGGUGGUGCACCGGAGGCUGAGAAGGAUAGAUAUGGGGCUCGCAGGGUGUGCGGUUUAUGGCAUGGCCUGUGGUCAUUUAAUAGUAGGCGCCCGGAGUGGCUUCUCAUUUCGUCGCGCCGACGCGAAUGCCAUGCAGGCGGACGGAGUCACCCUACUUGAAUGGGGUAGGAAGUCGUCCCCUCAUCCUGCAAGUUCAUGUCAGCUCUGAACUAGCAUUAACGUGGUGCAGGGACCGAGGAUGCAAGCGUUAUCCGGAAUGAUUGGGCGUAAAGCGUCUGUAGGUGGCUUUUCAAGUCCGCCGUCAAAUGCCAGGGCUCAACCCUGGACAUGCGGCGGAAACUACCAAGCUGGAGUAUGGUAGGGGCAGAGGGAAUUUCUGGUGGAGCGGUGAAAUGCAUUGAGAUCGGAAAGAACACCAACGGCAAAAGCACUCUGCUGGACCGACACUGACACCGAGAGACGAAAGCUAGGGUAGCAAAUGGGAUUAGAGACCCCAGUAGUCCUAGCCGUAAACGAUGGAUACUAGGUGUUGUGCGACUCGACCCGUGCAGUGCUGUAGCUAACGCGUUAAGUAUCCCGCCUGGGGAGUACGUUCGCAAGAAUGAAACUCAAAGGAAUUGAUGGGGGCCCGCACAAGCGGUGGAGCAUGUGGUUUAAUUCGAUGCAAAGCGAAGAACCUUACCAGGGCUUGACAUCCCGUGAAUCCUCUUGAAAGAGAGGGGUGCCCUCGGGAACGCGGACACAGGUGGUGCAUGGCUGUCGUCAGCUCAUGCCGUAAGGUGUUGGGUUAAGUCUCGCAAUGAGCGCAACCCUCGUGUUUAGUUACCACUAUGAGUUUGGAACCCUGAACAGACCGUCGGUGUUAAACCGGAGGAAGGAGAGGAUGAGGCCAAGUCAUCAUGCCCCUUAUGCCCAGGGCGACACACGUGCUACAAUGGGCGGGACAAAGGGUCGCGAUCUCGCGAGGGUGAGCUAACUCCAAAAACCCGUCCUCGGUUCGGAUUGCAGGCUGCAACUCGCCUGGAUGAAGUAGGAAUCGCUAGUAAUCGCAUGUCAGCCAUACGGCGGUGAAUCCGUUCUAGGGCCUUGUACACACCACCCGUCACACUAUAGGAGCUAGCCAUGUUUGAAGUCAUUACCCUUAACCGUAAGGAGGGGGAUGCCUAAGGCUAGGCUUGCGACUGGAGUGAAGUUGUAACAAGGUAGCCGUACUGGAAGGUGCGGCUG
rnacentral:rRNA from 1 species